GGUUAAGCGACUAAGCGUACACGGUGGAUGCCCUGGCAGUCAGAGGCGAUGAAGGACGUGCUAAUCUGCGAUAAGCGUCGGUAAGGUGAUAUGAACCGUUAUAACCGGCGAUUUCCGAAUGGGGAAACCCAGUGUGAUUCGUCACACUAUCAUUAACUGAAUCCAUAGGUUAAUGAGGCGAACCGGGGGAACUGAAACAUCUAAGUACCCCGAGGAAAAGAAAUCAACCGAGAUUCCCCCAGUAGCGGCGAGCGAACGGGGAGCAGCCCAGAGCCUGAAUCAGUGUGUGUGUUAGUGGAAGCGUCUGGAAAGGCGCGCGAUACAGGGUGACAGCC
rnacentral:rRNA from 1 species